UCCAAUUUACAGCCAGUUGGUCAGAUGC
rnacentral:piRNA from 1 species